rnacentral:rRNA from 1 species
UGGGGAAUCUUCCGCAAUGGACGAAAGUCUGACGGAGCAACGCCGCGUGAGUGAAGAAGGUUUUCGGAUCGUAAAACUCUGUCUUUUGGGGCGAACGUGAGUAUGGUGAACAAUCAUAGUCAGUGACGGUACCAAAGGAGGAAGCCACGGCUAACUACGUGCCAGCAGCCGCGGUAAUACGUAGGUGGCAAGCGUUGUCCGGAAUUAUUGGGCGUAAAGAGCGCGUAGGCGGGAUAGUCAGUCUGUUGUAAAGUGCGGGGCUCAACCCCGUGAUCGCAAUGGAAACAGCUAUUCUUGAGUGCAGGAGAGGAAAGUGGAAUUCCCAGUGUAGCGGUGAAAUGCGUAGAUAUUGGGAGGAACACCAGUGGCGAAGGCGACUUUCUGGACUGUGUCUGACGCUGAGGCGCGAAAGCCAGGGGAGCGAACGGGAUUAGAUACCCCGGUAGUCCUGGCCGUAAACGAUGGGUACUAGGUGUGGGAGGUAUCGACCCCUUCCGUGCCGGAGUUAACGCAAUAAGUACCCCGCCUGGGGAGUACGGUCGCAAGACUGAAACUCAAAUGAAUUGACGGGGUCAUAGCUGUUU